AACGAACGUUGGCGGCGUGGAUUAGGCAUGCAAGUCGAACGAAUCCCCACGGGCUUGCUCGUGGGGGGAAGUGGCGAAAGGGGCAGUAAGGCAUGGGUAACCUACCUCGGGGACGAGGAUAGCCAUCCUAACGGAUGGGUAAUACUUGGCGAUCUGACGAUGAGGCAUCUCGUUGUCAGGAAACGAAUUUCNCCUCGAGAGGGGCUCAUGUAGUAUUAGCUGGUUGGUGGGGUAACGGCCACCAAGGCGAAGAUGCUUAGCGGGUGUGAGAGCACGACCCGCGCCACUGGCACUGAGACACUGGCCAGACUCCUGCGGGAGGCUGCAGUCGAGGAUCUUCGGCAAUGGGCGCAAGCCUGACCGAGCGACGCCGCGUGUGCGAUGAAGGCCU
rnacentral:rRNA from 1 species